GUCGAGCUGGGUUGCGUCAGCUUGUGGCCCAAGUGGGGACGUUAAAGCGAGGGAACAUCUGAGGCCGAGUUGGGCUGGGCUUUGCUUGCAAAAUGGCUGGCCUGUCCAAUCCAAGUUGAGAAAUGAUCCAUGUGACUUUGGCGUAGGCCGAGGUUUCCUGGUUCUUAGACUUGGGGGUACUGCGUGAGGCUGGAUUAACAGAACAGCGAUAACCUCGGAUUCCCAACAGUAGAGGGAAAAUAGGCUGCUGCGACCUAAGCCCACUUCUAUUCUAGCCCAAUUAGCCUUCAGCUUGGACCUUCACUUUA
rnacentral:SRP_RNA from 2 species